rnacentral:pre_miRNA from 1 species
CUACUACUCCCUCCGUCCGAAAAUACUUUUCAUUGAAAUGGAUGUAUCUAGAUGUAUUUUAGUUCUAGACACAUCCAUUUUGAUAACAAGUAAUUCUGGAUGGAGGGAGUAUUAU